CGGUGUAGCUCAAUUGGUAGAGCAACUGACUUGUAAUCAGUAGGUUGGGGGUUCAAUUCCUCUCGCCGG
rnacentral:tRNA from 1 species